rnacentral:rRNA from 1 species
UAGGGAAUCUUCCGCAAUGGACGAAAGUCUGACGGAGCAACGCCGCGUGAGUGAAGAAGGAUUUCGUUUCGUAAAACUCUGUUGUUAGGGAAGAAAAAAUGUAUAGUAACUAUAUACAAAAGAGACGGUACCUAACCAGAAAGCCACGGCUAACUACGUGCCAGCAGCCGCGGUAAUACGUAGGUGGCAAGCGUUGUCCGGAAUUAUUGGGCGUAAAGCUCGCGCAGGUGGUUUAGAAAGUCUGAUGUGCAAGCCCACGGCUCAACCGUGGAGGGUCAUUGGAAACUAAUAAACUUGAGUGCAGGGGAGAAAAGUGGAAUUCCUAGGGUGUCGGUGAAAUGCGUAGAGAUUAGGAGGAACACCGGUGGCGAAAGCGGCUUUUUGGCCUGCAACUGACACUGAGGCGCGAAAGCGUGGGGAGCAAACAGG